ACCGAUUAUGCCUUGAUCCCACGUCCAGGGAAACCUUUCGUUGUAAUUGAUCGUUUCUUUUGCGAGCGGCGUGCCUUCUUCCGGUUUGGCUGAGAAAGAAAUUCUUUAAUUAGCAUAAUUCCAAAUUGCAUUCGCAAGUGUGACGUUGACCGAUCUGAGCCCAAUUUUGACUGCCAUAUGAGCAUCGAUUUCGUGACCUAUGCCGGCCCGAUAGGGCGUUUUGCUUCUCGUGCUGCCGUAUUCCCAUUCUUGACCGAAAUUUUCUACUGCAAAUUCAUAACGUUCGACAUACAGACAACUCCAAUAACGCACAACGUGAGAAAGGACAGGUUUUAAAAACAUCUGAAAGAUAUUCUAGGUUCAUAAGAUAUGUUCCUCAGAACGUACGUGGUGUUAAGUCUAAAUAAAAAGUCUAAUAGUCUAAAGCUGAAGCUCUGUACUUACUUGCCUC